UCUUUGACACAUUCUCCAUUUCCAUUCUCAAUUUUAUUAACUUGUCAGAUAGACAAAAAAUACAAGUGGACGUGGCUGGGUACUUAAACAUCCCGACACAAAAAGACACAAUGAACAGAUGUGAGCUCGAGAGUACUCACAGUUAUCUGACACAGCUAGUUCAAAGCCAUUAACAACUAAUAAAAAAUCAUGCAACUAAGACUAAACAAUCAAUCUGUACACAUCCAACAUCCAAUGGAUUUAGUGUAAAGACGUCUUAAACAGCCAGAGAAAAACAUGACCUUGUGCAAUGCCAAGUUACAGGUAUCGACAGAUUGUAGAUCCAUGAAUAUGUAUACAUGGGUUUUUACUCAUCAGAUGCAUGAUUCAGAUCAAUACAGUGGUGUCUGCAUAAAAAAAGUUGAUGGGAGAAUGAUGUUUAUCAAAGGUUGAUGUAAACAAAGAAAAGAAAAUUCAACAGAUGAGGCUUUUUGACAAGAAGUGUUAUUUUGAAAUGAUUUUUAGCCAGCAAAUCAAGGUUAACAGCAUCUAGAGAAAUUUGCACAGCAACAUGGAGGAGAAAAACCAUCAAUCCUUGCAAAUCUUGCUGGACGGAAUUGAGAUUUUUUAGCACAAGCAACAAUUCAUGGAAAAAACUAUGAAAAAAGGCUCUAGGUGUAAUACCACCAUUGAUUUUCCCCUAUUAGUCUUUGUUAAAUUUGCACUUUUCAAAAAAUUGUGCAGAAUUUAUCUUUGUUUCAAAUAAAGAAAUACUUGGCAUGAGUAAAGUUUUAUCCUGUCCAGUUCUAUAGAAAAAGUUUCACAUCACAUUUCAUU